rnacentral:rRNA from 1 species
UACGAAGGGGGCUAGCGUUGUUCGGAAUUACUGGGCGUAAAGGGCGCGUAGGCGGUUUGUCAAGUCAGGCGUGAAAGCCCCGGGCUCAACCUGGGAACCGCGCUUGAGACUGGCAGGCUCGAGUUCGGGAGAGGAUGGUGGAAUUCCCAGUGUAGAGGUGAAAUUCGUAGAUAUUGGGAAGAACACCGAUGGCGAAGGCAGCCAUCUGGACCGACACUGACGCUGAGGCGCGAAAGCGUGGGGAGCAAACAGG